UACGAAGGGGGCUAGCGUUGCUCGGAAUCACUGGGCGUAAAGGGUGCGUAGGCGGGUUUUUAAGUCAGAGGUGAAAUCCUGGAGCUCAACUCCAGAACUGCCUUUGAUACUGAAAGUCUUGAGUAUGGGAGAGGUGAGUGGAACUGCGAGUGUAGAGGUGAAAUUCGUAGAUAUUCGCAAGAGCACCAGUGGCGAAGGCGGCUCACUGGCCCAUUACUGACGCUGAGGCACGAAAGCGUGGGGAGCAAACAGG
rnacentral:rRNA from 1 species